rnacentral:lncRNA from 10 species
AUUCAAGUAAUGCUUAUGAGUACUUGAUAACAUAGGGAAAAGCUUAAGAUACAGUGUUUUAGAAAAAAGGAAAGGUGAAAAAAAUAGAUGGAAAGCAUGACUUCAAUCUUGCAUACAGAUGCUUCCACUUUAUCCUUUUUGUUUGUUGUUUGUUUGUUUGAUUGCUUUUGAGACAGGGUCUCUCUCUGUCGACCAGGCUGGAAUACAGUGGCAUCAUGAUCUCAGCUCACUGCGGCCUCUAUUUCCUGGGCUCAAGCAAUGCUCCCACCCCAGCCUUCUAAGUACCUGGGAAUACAGAUGGAGUCUUGCUCUGUCGCCCAGGCUGGAAUGCAACAGUGCAAUCUCGGCUCACUGCAACCUCUGUCUCCUGGGUUCAAGCCAUUCUCCUGCCUCAGCUUCCCAAGCAGCUGGGAUUACAGCUAAAAGAAUAUCAGCAGAGGAACAGCCCUGCUGUUCCAGCAGGAGCGAAGACAAAAAAGAAGAAAACUGGCGGUAGCCCUGAGACAACCACUUCUGGUGGUUGCCACUCACCUGGGGAUGUGAGUCUUGGCUGGCCAGGCUCCUGGGGACAGGGGGCCCAAGGGGGCAGUAGAGGGUAAUUGUUAAGAUUGCUGGGUACUGGUUAAGAAUUCUGGGUUUGAAUCUUGCCUCUCCAUUGGCUAGGGAUCUGACUUAUGGCAAGUUGCUUGAGUUCUUUGGGCCUCUCUUUUCACGUCUGUAAAAUAGGGGUAGUGGUGUUUGAUUUUAAUUUCUGAAGUUUAAAUGAUAUUCCAUAUUGUUGUUGUUUUUAUGUUAAUCCCUGAUACAUGUCCUGCUGUGAACACCCAGGAUACCCAGGAAAUGGUCAUUGCUGUUUGAUUUUCCUGAUCCCUAGUCUCAAGGGGGAGCUGGGCCAAUGAGUACAGCCACUUGCUAUCAAGCUGUCCCUUUACGAGUCACAGAAGGGGGCUCAGGGUGUGGUGAGGAGAGCCCCAGGCACUAGGAGUAAGAGAAGAUCUAACUUGCCACCAGCUUGCUGAGUGACCACAGAAAAAUCACUUCUUACCCUGGGCCUCAGUUUUCUCCAUUGUAAGAUGACACUGGAUAAGAUCGGUGUCUUUCAUACUUGUUUUUUAGCUGGAGCCCCUUUAGUUCAAGUGAACCCCUACUCAGGAGUCUGGUUUUUUAAGAGAGGUGGAGGUCUGGAGCUCUACCAGAUUCAUCAUCCAUGUCCUGGGCCUGAGGAGAGGGGUCCAGUGAGCAUAUUAAGAGCUGCGUUGGUCAGGUGACUCCACCCUGUGACUGCAUCACACAGGGAACAUUUCCAUCUAUUUGUUCCUGCCCCUGGCAAGGCAGCAGGUGGCCAUUUGGAAGAAUGGCACAGGCCAUGGUUUCAAUCUCCUCUGCUCUUCCUCAGCGUUUUAUUUUCCUGAACCCACAUCUUCCUCCUACCCUGACUUUUUUGUUUCUCUCUAAGCCACUUCUGUCUUUCUCCCCCUGCCCUUGUUUUUCCCUUGUCCCCUCCUAUAGGGGACAUUCUGAAGGUGCUGGUGUCCAACCUUAACCAUUCCAGUGGGUAGCGCUCCCCCAUUGCACAAGUGGAAGGUGAGGCAGUGCUGCGACCCCUCUCUGGCUUGCUCUCUCCAGCUGUGCAUGCCCCUCAUGCCCCUGAGGCUUCUCUGGUUUGGGAGAUACUUGGCCUCUGCUUUGUUUUAUGUUGCUGCCAUUAACCUUCAUUCUGUUUAUGUCUGCUUCUUCACCUGCUUGAUUGAUUGGGUUUUUUUCCUUCCCCGCAUCUUUUAUCAUCUUGGAAAUGGUGAGACCUUAAAGUUUAAAAGUAACUUGGGAAUAAAGUACAGAGCAGGCAUGUGCGAUUUGGCGAUUUUUUUUUUUUUUUUUUUUUUUGAGACAGAGUCUCACUGUGUCACCCAGACUGGAGUGCAGUGGUGCAAUCUCAGCUCACUAAAACAUCUGCCUCCCAGGUUCAAGUGAUUCUCUUGCCUUAGCCUCCUUAGUAACCAGGAUUACAGGCACCUGUCACCAUGCCCGGCUAAUCUUUGUAUUUUUAUUAGAGACGUGAUUUAACCAUGUCGGCCAUGCUGGUCUUGAACUCCUGACCUCCAAUGAUCCACCCGCCUCAGCCUCCCAAAGUGCUGGGACUACAUAUGUGAGCCACUGUGCCUGGCCCCUUUGCUGUUUUUAUACUUUCUUUAUAUCCAUAACUGUUUCCCUGUGUUUCUUUUUUUUUUUAAUUUCUCUUUUUUAUUACUCCUGCGUCAUCUGUUACCCUGAAGGACCUGGAGGUAAGAGGCCCUGAACCAAGGUGCAGUGACCCUGCAGGCCAGCCCUCCAACCUCCUCUCACAGUGGGGGCUGGGUGCCCCUCUGCCAGCUGAGACAGCCCACACACACUCCAGCCCUAAUGAUUGUUCUCUCUACCUCUUCCCACAAUCCUCCUCCAACUGCUCCUCUCUGCAUGUGCCUCAGAGUCGGAACCAAGAACUGGAAGUAGCCCCAGACUCAAGCUCCGCAACAAUCAAUCAACUCUAUGAAAACAUAGAAUCACUGGUAAGAGUCCAGUGGGGUCCUGUGAUUCCACGCUGCCAAUCCUGGGCUUUACUUUCCCCUUGGGGCUCUGAAGAAAG